CAAACGGUCCUUUUCAGGACUACCAAACAAAUCCACAAGAGUUGUUU
rfam:Aedes albopictus isolate Foshan contig158405, whole genome shotgun sequence.